rnacentral:rRNA from 1 species
UGCGCAGGCGGUUAUGUAAGACAGAGGUGAAAUCCCCGGGCUCAACCUGGGAACGGCCUUUGUGACUGCAUGGCUAGAGUAUGGUAGAGGGGGAUGGAAUUCCGCGUGUAGCAGUGAAAUGCGUAGAUAUGCGGAGGAACACCGACGGCGAAGGCAAUCCCCUGGACCUGUACUGACGCUCAUGCACGAAAGCGUGGGGAGCAAACAGGAUUAGAUACCCUGGUAGUCCACGCCCUAAACGAUGUCAACUGGUUGUUGGGUCUUAACUGACUCAGUAACGAAGCUAACGCGUGAAGUUGACCGCCUGGGGAGUACGGCCGCAAGGUUGAA